AAGCCGGAGGAAGGCGGGGAUGACGUCAAGUCAUCAUGGCCCUUACAAGGUGGGCUACACACGUACUACAAUGGGAGUUACAAUGGGUCGCUACACGGCAACGUGAUGCUAAUCUCAAAAAGCUCCCUCAGUUCAGAUUGGGGACUGCAACUCGUCCCCAUGAAGUUGGAAUCGCUAGUAAUCGCGGAUCAGCAUG
rnacentral:rRNA from 1 species